UUUUUUUUUUUUUUUUUUUCCUCCACGCAGCAUUUUCGGCUCACAACCUGCUGACACCAUCUUCUCCUUCCGUUUGUUUGUUUGUUUGUUUUUUUUCCUCCCUGGCCGUUUCCCUUGGUUUAGAUCUCUCGGCUGGAAAAUAGAUGUUGCAGGGUGCUUUUUUUUUUUUUUAUUAUUAUUAUUUGGCCUGGUGUAUUACAGCAACGCUUGAGCCAAGGGGGAUCUUUUCACCGUAAAGGAAAAGACAUCACAUUUACUGUGAAGAAAAGCCUAUAUAUGAUGUCUUUUCCCUCUUCCUCCCCAAGCAGAGAGCAGCAGCAGCCCAGGAAGGGAGGCCAAGCCGUGCUGGAGGCAGCGGCGAUGCCGCGCGGUGCUUUUCGGUUCUGGGAGAGCCAUGUCCAUCCCUCUCCCUUCUUCUGUUGUCUUCUCUCAUUUUUGUGCUACCCUAAAAACUGCAGACUCCGGCGGCAAAGCAGUGAAAAGGAGUAUAUAAUAAUUUAUAGGGGAAUUCAGCUUCUUGGUCACCUUGGCAAGAGCCUUGUUCAGGAACGGUGGGAAGGUCAGAAAAGGUUGCACGUUCCUCUCUGCGACAGAUAAGCCAUAUAUUGAUGUAUGUACACACGUGUGCGUCUGUCUAGGUCAUGUGAUUCUGUUAUAAAUUUUCAUCAAGGGAGCUUUUGUCUUUUAUUUUUUUUUUUCCUUUUAUUUCUUUGCUUUAAGAAAAAGAAAAAAAAAAUUCCUCUGUUGAAUUCCACAGUGUUGUAAUUGUACUGAGCUCCAAACUGUUCCGAUUUCCCCAGACCACUUAGCUACGGUAUAUUGCAAUAAAAUUACUACUUGUAUUUGCAGACAUUCUUUUUGUGUAAUUUUAUUUCCCUCCUCCCUUAAUAUAUAUGACUUGAACAAAUGUUGAUAAGAAAAAUAAAACCUAUGGAAAAAAAUUUUAGUACAUAAGGCCCUUUUUAAAAUAUAGUGUCGAAUGACAUAUUGUACAUUUCUUCAAAGUCCAAUAAACAUGUCAUAAAAUUUAAGUGUAAUGCCCAUAAGAGCUAUUUUUAAAUAUUUUAAACCUGUGUAAUAAAGGAAUAAAUGUAAUAGAUUUUUUUCAAUAAAUCAAGUUUACUGUUUCCACCUAAA